CGCCAAUGCCCUUGGUUGGAUUGUAAUUAUGCAAGUCCCUUUUGAUUUCGUGGUAUUUUACUUAUUUUUCGGAUUUAAUUAAAGUUUUAUUUAAUUAAUUUUUCGGGCAGGAGUACUUGGAGAAUUUUAUUUUGGGCAGAGGUAUUGGAGCAAUUGAUUCGUAUGCAUCUGCCAAUAAAUGGAAAGAUGUGACGAGUGUGAGAAGGAAAAUGAAAGAUUUGGGAAUCAAAAAGUUUCCUGGAUGCAGUUCUGUCGAGAAUGAUGGUGUUCAAAUUGAGCUUCAGUAAAACUGUUUCUUGCUUUAAGGGGGCAUAAAUAAAAGUCGCUAGGACAAGGAGUCAUUACUUGUGAUUCAAGGAACCGGACAACCAAUGCAUCAUGGGACGGUCUUCUAGACUUGAAGACACUGAUUAUCAACUUUAACUGCAAAGAAUAUUUAACUACUGCUUUCUUUUAGUCAAGACUUCUGCAACCAACAUGAAACUGUAUUUUCUUCUACACUUAUGUUUCCUUGCACAUCUUCUCCUAAUCCAUACCUCUAGGUCCUUGACUAGUUAAUCAAACAAUCAGCAACUCUUUAACCACUAUGACUAAACAACUUGUUGAGAAUCAAACCCCUUUGAUCACCAUUGAUGAACUUCAAGAACUCAUGAACUUGAGCUGGAAUCAAAGAACACAUCGAUAUGACCCGGUUCGCCGUGUUAACUAACGGGUACAUUCGGUUAGGACCUUGCGGUCCCCAAGUUCGAUAGAUUGGCCGGAAAACGCCUCCGGCGUGGCUGUACAUGGAGAUCACUCACCGUUGGUUACAACCCAACCAACCUUACAAGAAAGAGGAAUCAAGAAGAAGAUAAGAGAAUAGAAACCCAAGAGACCCCAAGAUACAUAAGCUACUGCUCUCUCUCACAUCUCUCUAUCUAUCUCUAACUCUCUGUUACGCAUCGUCGCAGCUCCUCUCGUUUCUACUUAUAAACCAAGAGACGAAGCUAAAGACGGUGAUGACGUGUUCUCAUUACCUUGCACGUGACCCACGUGAGAUGUAAUUAACACUUCCUUGUUUAAGACCCUCUCCUUCAGCUAGCAUGUUUACUACACAGCUUUAGUCUCGUGACUUCUUUCUUCUUGUUGAUUACUUCUUCUUCAAUUCACUUGCAAAGAGUCUUCAUGUUGAAUCAAUCUCCAACACAACUUAACUUAGUUAAACCAAACUAGUGCUAACUACUCUUAUUAAUGUAAAACUCCUUGGUAUACUCAUCUAGUCUUUGUCUUUUACUUCUUGCGUGUUCCUCCUCAUUGUAGUUGACUUACUUCAGUUUCCUCUUCCUUUGCUUCCUCUGUUCUUUCUUCUUCAUGUUCUUAUUAUUUUUCUUCUUUCUUAUUUUGCAGGUUUAAUGAAGGAAACAACACUCAAUGAGCCUCCUGGAGAGUAGCCAGACAUAGAAAAUUGAAUAUUAGAAUAGCAUAGGUCAUAUAAAGAUUAUUACGUAUAUAUAUCAGCUUAUUAUAUCUAUAUAUAGUUAAUUAUAUUUUGUGUACUUCAAACAUUUUAAAGGCAGUUUCGUAAAUUAAUUGUGUGGAUAUUGUUAUAAAUUUUUUUUGAACAUUAGAAUAGCAUAGGUUAUAUAUAGAUUAUUACGUAUAUAUAUCAGCUUAUUAUAUCUUUAUAUAGUUAAUUAUAUAUAUGUACGUCAAACAUUUUAAAAUAUAUACAACUAGGUGUUUUAUUAUCUAUUAUAAAUAUUAUUAAAAUCAAUGACUCACCUAAGAAAUUUAUAUAUAUAAUAAUAAAUAAUAUAAUAGUAUUAAAUAUUUGUAUAGAUGAUAUAUUGUAAUUAUUAUGUUUCCAAAACUGUUUAUUACUGUAUUAAAAUAUAUAAUACAAUAUUAAUAAAAACUAUUGAAUAAAUAUAAAAUUAUGAAGAAGAUGACAAAUCAAAUUCACUUCUCAAAUAAUAGUGUAUAUAUUAAGUCGCAAAUAAAAUUUGAAGUGAUAUUAAUUAUUUAUACAACCGUGCAGUUCCAAUCAGUUAUUAAAUAAAAACACCCUAACUUUAAGAUGUGGUAUAAGAAAACAACAUUAACUAAAAUAAGAGAAUUGAAAGUCUAUACGUUUCCAUAUUUACAAAGUUAGGAACUAUAUUCAUUUAUGAAAAUGAGUCAGUAUUGCUUUAAGUGAUCCUAAUGUUUUUCAAAAAUAAACCCUCAAAAAGACUUAAUUAUUUUCAUGAGUUUAUCGAUACCAAAUUAUUUUUUUCUGACAUGUAGAUAUUGCGCACACAAAAUAAAAACUUUUAAAACAGAAAUAAUACUCUUUCUGUUCCUGAAAGUAUAAUUUUCUAUAUUUAUUUUUUGUUCCAAAUUAAUAGAUUUUUAAAAAUUUUAAGGUACUUUUAAUAGUCAAUGUUGAAAAAUUAUAUACUUUUAAGAAAUAUUAACUGAAAAUAUUUAAAUUAGUUAAAUACUAUUAAUUGAUAUUUGUUGGAAAAUAAAUAGUAAAAUAAAUAAUAAAUUUAAUUGUAAAAAAUUAAUUGUUUUUUUAAUAUGCAUUAAUACUUUAGAAAAUCCUUCUUUCCAAAACGGAGGGAGAGAGUACUUAAUAGUAACAGACACGAGACAUGUCGGGACCGAACAUAAGCUACGACCCAUACCGAAUAGCUAAUCAAUCUUCCUACCUCAUAUUUAAACAGACCUAUUUAAAUGCACUACAUGCCAAAACUACCUUUUGGCCACCUGCGGCAUCGCUUGUGUCAUUUCAUUAUUCCUCUCGCUCUUAUCUAGAAUAGUUGAAACUAACAACGAAGAUUUGCAUAAGUUAGACCAUCUCCGACAAUGUAUUUUGCUAUUUUCAUCUCUAAAAUAGGAAAAUUCUAUAAUAGAGGUGAGAUAUGCUCCAAUGUAUUUUUCUAAAAUAGCAAUCUCUAAAAUAUAGAGUAAAAAUAGAGGAAUGUUAUUUCUUCCUCGAUAAAUAGAAGAAAAAAUAGAGAUCUUUAUUAUAGAGAAAGAAAUAGAGGUGGGUUGGAGCAAUUUCACCUCUAAAUGUUAUUAUAGAGAUGAAAAUAGCAAUGGGUUCUAACCCAUAACACUAUUUUAGUGUCAAGACUACACUAUUUUAGUGUAGUUUCAACAUUAAAAACAAAUUUAUCUUCAACUACAACACUAAAUUUUAUACUAAAAGAUAUUUUAUAAUAUUAUAUUUAUUUAAUUUAUUUAAUUUAUUUAAUUUUUUGUUUUUAAUAAUAUAAUUUAUUAAUAAAGUAAGUGAAUAGUAUUUUAGUGGAGUGAAUAAUAUUUUAGUGUAAUGAAUAGUAUCACACCAAAUUUGGUGUGAUAUUAUAGUGUUACAUUAAAAUAAUAUGAUUUUUAAUGUUGGGUUAUAGAUGGUUUUGGUGUAAAAUUCAUAUUAAAAUAGUAUUUUGGAAUUGGGUUAGAGAUGACCUUAAUAACUUUUAUGUCACACACGUGAUUGCAUGAUUCGUGUAGCUGAUUUUAUAUUAUAAAAAUCCAGUUAAAGCCAAGUUGACGAUCUACUAUUUAGAUGUGAAGAUAAAGAUAGACACAAACGAUGUAGUGCGAAUAGAAUGGAACAACAAAUUUGUGUAGAGUGAGGAAGUGUGAAACGAAACUAUGAUAAAAAACUUUUUUGUGACCGUUCUCAAGCUUUCAGUAGACACCAGAGAUGUUAAAAACUUUGAGAAAGAGAUGAUGAACUUUUUUUUUUUUUUUUUGAGAUGAUGGACUUAACUCAUUAGAAAUAGAGAAAAUGCUAGACUACUAGAAAUAUAAAUACCAAAGCACAUACACAAAAUUUAACCAGUUCAGGCUAUAUGUUUGUCAGGAUCCUCUUCAUGGAAUCAACUCGUAAUACAAAAACAAGAACACUCCAAAAGCCCCGUAGAAGAACCUUACUCGUUUUCUCUCUAAACUAUUUAUGUUUUCUGAUCAAUAAACUAUCAAUAAACAAGUUUAUGCCUUGAAUACAUUGCUCACUUUUCUAUAUUCUUUUUUGUUCGCUAUCCGACAAACCGUCUUUUGCUUUUGCUUUUAUGAGUUGCAUCAACAGCUACAUCUUGUGAUCCUCCAUGUUAAUUAUGAUCACAUGAUCUUACAUCUUUUAAACUUAAAUACUUUCUC
rnacentral:lncRNA from 1 species